rnacentral:rRNA from 1 species
CCUACGGGAGGCAGCAGUAGGGAAUAUUGGUCAAUGGGCGAAAGCCUGAACCAGCAACGCCGCGUGCGCGAUGAAGGCCUUCGGGUCGUAAAGCGCUUUUGGGAGGGAUGAAAAUGACAGUACCUCCCGAAUAAGGAUCGGCUAACUACGUGCCAGCAGCCGCGGUAAGACGUAGGAUCCAAGCGUUAUCCGGAAUUACUGGGCGUAAAGGGCGUGUAGGAGGUUGGGCAAGUCGGCCAUGAAAGCUCCCGGCUCAACUGGGAGAGGCUGGUCGAUACUGCCUGGCUAGAGGGCAAGAGAGGGAGGUGGAAUUCCCGGUGUAGUGGUGAAAUGCGUAGAUAUCGGGAGGAACACCAGUGGCGAAGGCGGCCUCCUGGCUUGUACCUGACUCUGAAACGCGAAAGCAUGGGUAGCAAACAGGAUUAGAAACCCUGGUAGUCCAUGCCAUAAACGAUGUCAACUGGGUGUCGGCGAAGUAAAAUUUAGUCGGUGCCGAAGCUAGCGCGUUAAGUUGACCGCCUGAGGACUACGAUCGCAAGAUUAAAACUUAAAGGAAUUGACGG